GGCAUGCUCUUUCCCGUCAGCCCCUGCGCGUUAUAAAUACCCAUGUCGUACGUCCCACAUUCUUUUCUAGGCGCGUGGGAAGAAGAGAAAGCCUUGAGAACCUCAUUAGAUGCUGAAGAGGGCAUUUGAUCCACAGGAGAACAUGUCCAGUUUGGAAAUGCAAGUACGCUUGAAAGUUCAUUGCAUGCUGUUGGAAUGGCCAUAUAAUCCUGAAAUGGCAGGUAUUCUGCAUUUGCUACGUCAUGCUGCUAGUUGUAAAUCAUACCUGGGGCCUGAGCAAGGAUGAGGGGCUGAAUUCUGGAAGUGGCGAGAUUAAGACUUCUGCACAUCAUGGACACUGGAGCUCCACAAGAGUCAACCAGGCUGUUUUAAAUGGAAGAAGAAUAACCAGGAGAAAAAGAGCUGGAGAAGAUGCUGAGGAUGUGGUCUUGUGAAAGCACCAGCUAUUUAAGCGUAGGUCAGAAGAGAACAAAGUCUUACAGAUCAACGGAACAAUCCUGGAGAAAUGGCUGCCUUUGGUCUCCACCUUCAGUAUGCCUUCAAGUCUACAAUUCCCACCAUCCCUGGUUGCUGACUAUGCUGGUGGGAUUCGGAAGGCCCCAACAUCGACGGCACUAGGAUGGCUUUCUCUGGCAGCAACAUGAUGGAAGAAAAGCUGCAUUGCUGCAGAUACUAAUAUGAGCAGGAAUGACUUCCAAAGCCUUAAUGCGGAGAAUUACUAUCUUGCUUUUUUUCCUGAUUAGCAGCUGCCGCCGUAGUGGUAACAAAACAGCAAGCUGCGACACACUGCUUGUGUGCUCUGAGCAAAGGUGGUUGAGGGAAACACUUAAAUGGGGACAAAGAUAAUGGUCCAAAACCAAAUUGGGAUGAAGAGGUUUUCUGCAUUUGCAGAAUUUGACAACUGAUGCAUGCAUGCCUCCCCCCCCUUGCAAGUAACAGCGGCUUCAGAUUUCAAGAACUAUGCUAUUUACCUGUAAGAGAUGGCUUGUUGAACACCAAUAAAGCAUAUUAUUCU